AUGAAGCCCUGGAUCCCCAGGCCGCAUCAGGAACCGGCGUCAUCCAGAAAAGAACCCUCGGAGGAUUUCUGGGUGAGUGGUUCAGAUCCCAUCCCUGUCACGCUGCUGGUUCUGCUGCUCCUGCUCCUGGCUUUGGGGGCGGCCUUGGCUGUGCAGUCAGGAAGCUGUGGUAAAACUCCAGUUACCCCAGUUGCACCUGUGGCUCCGGUGCUGCUGGCCUGUCCCAAGGGCUGGGUCGGGUACCGCGGGGUCUGCGACUUCCUCUCGAGGGAUCAGGGGACCUGGGGUCAGGGUCAGGCUCGGUGCUCCGAGCUCGGGGCCUCCCUGGCCGUGCUCAAGGAUGAGGAAAUGGAGUUCCCCUUCCCCUCUGUGGGAGCGCACAUCCCUGCCUCGGGCUGCGCAGACGGGGCCAGGGGCUGCCCCGGGGGGACGGCAGCAGCUUCAACUCCUCGUGAGUGCCGGGGAGCCGGGCAGGGCCUGGGGGGCACGGGGGCACAACGUGUCCCCCUGUGCUGCCAGCGCUGCCUCUGCUCCUCCUUGCAGGGUCGAGGUCCUGGGCGAUGCAGAGUGUGCGUUCCUUGGAGAGGGUGAACUCAGGAGCGGGACCUGCUCAAAUCCGCGGCCGUAUCUCUGCAGCAGGGCCCAAACUGCCCCGUGACAGGGGAUGCAGAGAGGACCUUCCCUCUGCUGGGCAGGCUCAGCUUCCCCUCUUCCCCCCCAGCACGGGGAUGUCCUUCCUCAGCCGCAGCGUCUGCCUUGCACUGGCUCUCAGGGUCACCUCAGUGCCACUUUGCAGGGUCACCUCGGUGCCUGGUCUCCAGGAGAUGAAGCUGCAGGAAGAGGAGAUGAUGUGGAAGCUGAUGUGUGGCUGCCUGGGCUGGGGCUGGGGGUUUCUUGCUCCUUCUUGGACCAUCCCAGAACUGAUCCUGUUUCUGUAACAGCACGUAUUUAUAGAGUAACCCUGUAGAUGGAUGGAUAGAUAUAGAUAGAUAUGGAUAUAGAUGAAUAUAGGUGUAAAACCUGGGCUUCCACAGGAAUGUGCCCUUGGUUGGGGCACGCUGCCAGUGAUGCCAAGGUUGUGAUUUGACCCCACGGGGGCCAUUCCCUUUAGAGUUGGACUCCACGAUCCUUGUGGGUUCCUUCCAGCUCAGAGGAGUCUGUGAGUCUAUGAAAUGGCCUUGUGUGACCCCCACCAGCACUCACAGGGCCAAUGUUGUUGUUGUGGUUGUUCACCCAAUUAUUCUGUUACUUUUGCAUGAAAUGCUUGUGCAGUGCCCCCGCUGUCCCUUGUGUCCCCUGGGCACCGACAGCCCCGGCCCUUGCCCUGCUCCCCCUCCCACGUUCCAUCCCGGCUGGCGGAGCCUUGGAGCUGCCGUGGGGCCGUGGGGCUGCCCCGGGGGCUGCGGCCCGAGCCGGGGCCCCUUCCCAGUGCUCCCAGUCUGCCCAUCCAGCCUGGAGCAGCCAGCGAGGGCUUCAGCUGGGGCGGCAGAGAGGCGCUGCUGGGGGGUCCCACCUCUGCUUGGUUUGGGUUGUCCUUCCUAAGCUGGGGAAAAACGACUUUGGGAGUUUUCUACCAAAAAUCUCCUCUCCUCCUGCACUCUGCCCAAGGGGUUUGGGGCCAUUUUCCCUUUUUGGAGGAAAUCAAAGCGAUGCACAGAGCCCUGGCAGGACAGGGCAGCCCUGCAGCCCCUGAGCCUGUGCUGGCCUGUGCAUAGUAGAGGAGCAAAGCAGCUCAGGGAUAAUU
ensembl:lncRNA